GACGAACGCUGGCGGCGUGCUUAACACAUGCAAGUCGAACGAAGUGGCGAACGGGUGAGUAACGCGUAAUCAACCUGCCCUUCCGAGGGGGACAACAGUUGGAAACGACUGCUAAGAGCGCAUACUGAAGGAGGGGAUUGCGUCGGAUUAGCUAGUUGGAGGGGUAACGGCCCACCAAGGCGAUGAUCAGUAGCCGGUCGUAGAGGAUGAUCGGCCACGUGGGGACUGGUACACGGCCCAGACUCCUACGGGAGGCAGCAGUGGGGAAUCUUCCGCAAUGGACGAAAGUCUGACGGAGCAACGCCGCGUGAGUGAUGACGGCCUUCGGGUUGUAAAGCUCUGUUAAUCGGGACGCGGUACCGGAAUAGAAAGCCACGGCUAACUACGUGCCAGCCGCCGCGGUAAUUC
rnacentral:rRNA from 1 species